GGGCGAGUGGCGCAGUGGUUAGCGCAGCAGUCUUACACACUGUGGGUCGGGGGUUCGAAUCCCUCCUCGCCCACCA
rnacentral:tRNA from 1 species